CAGCAGCCGCGGUAAUACGUAGGGUGCGAGCGUUAAUCGGAAUUACUGGGCGUAAAGCGUGCGCAGGCGGCUUUGCAAGACAGAGGUGAAAUCCCCGGGCUCAACCUGGGAACUGCCUUUGUGACUGCAAGGCUAGAGUACGGCAGAGGGGGAUGGAAUUCCGCGUGUAGCAGUGAAAUGCGUAGAUAUGCGGAGGAACACCGAUGGCGAAGGCAAUCCCCUGGGCCUGUACUGACGCUCAUGCACGAAAGCGUGGGGAGCAAACAGGAUUAGAUACCCUGGUAGUCCACGCCCUAAACGAUGUCAACAGGUUGUUGGACGGCUUGCUGUUCAGUAACGAAGCUAACGCGUGAAGUUGACCGCCUGGGGGGUACGGCCGCAAGGUUGAAACUCAAAUAAAUUGACGG
rnacentral:rRNA from 1 species